rnacentral:misc_RNA from 1 species
AAGCGCACUUACGUGCAAGUCGAAAACAUGGCGACUCGCGACCGCACGGGUGAGUUCCUGCAGUACCGCGCGAUCCGCCCUCGCCGGCCUGAGACGGAGCAGCUGCUUGCCGAAGAGGAGAGCAUGAAUCGCGUCUAUGUGACUCCGCUUUGGGUGAAAAAGAUGGCUGAUGUCCGUCGUGUUGAAGACCAAAUCAAGGAGCAAAUGGCGGCGCUCGAGAAGCUGCGCAGGGACCACCUCAAAGUGGAGUUCAGCUCCACGCGUGACGAAGGGCGCGAGGAGGCCGAGAUCGAGGAUGCUCAGAACACAAUUGAUCGCCUCUUCAAGCAAAGCGAGAAGGGUGUGAAGGAUUUGGAAAUCUCCUACACACGCGACCUCCCUGACGGGGGCACGGAUGCCGAGUUGAGCAUUUUGCGCAAUGUCAAGAUGUGCCUGGUGAACGAGAUCAACAACAUCAGCAAACUCUACCGCGAGAGUCAACGCCGUUACAUGAUGGAUGUGAAGAAACAGCAGCUCGUCUCGCAGCGGUGGGCUGGCGGCGACCGGCAGAAGGCGGUGGAGCAGCAACUGGAGAACGACGCGCUUAUGGAUCAGUACCUGCAGAAGGGUAUGACGCAGGAGCAGGUCGAGACGAUCAUGCUAAAUCAGCAGAUGGCAGAUGAGCGGGUGAAGGAGUUUGAGCGCAUCUAUAGCUCCAUCAAGUCUCUGCAUGAGAUGUUCAAGGACAUGAACACUCUCGUCAUUGAGCAAGGCGCCUUGCUCGAUCGCAUUGAUUACAACAUGGCCAUCACCCACACCCGUGUGCAGAAGGCGCGCACAGAGCUGCAGAGGGCCGCGGAGUAUCAGUCCGCCGGCACAUUCAAACUGUGCGUUCUCUUCAUGAUUAUACUCAUUAUUGGCUUGAUGAUAGCCCUCUUCUUCAAGGCCAUUACCUGAGGUGGGACUCAGGGUGUGUGCGCCGCACGAAUCUGUCUUUUCUGUCUUUGGCACGAUGGCGUGAGCGUGCACCCCGCGCGAUGCAUCGGUGGAAGCGACAUACGCCUCGGGUCACCUUUGGAGGGGGGCCGUGAAUCGACACAAGGGGCUGUCCCUCUCUGACCCGGUCGCUGUCUCUUUUUCUCUUCUCAGCUCAUCCUCGUUGCGCCUUUUUGUUUUCCCCCUUUGUGUGUCCCGUUGCCACGUGUGAUGUGAUUCUCUUUGUGUGCGUGCGUUGGUUUACCGUUCUGCGGGCAAGUGCGCUCGCGCCCAAGUCCGUUGUCGAAGAGGCCCCUUCGCGUCACCGUUCACGGUAUGCGCUGCGCCUUGCGGAAUUGGAGUUACAGAAAUCGGUAAAGACAAGUGAGGGUGUUGUGCCUCGAGCAGGACAGGUGUCUUCGCCGUGCCGCGAACGCAUGAGGUGAUGUGCUCUCGUUUUCUUGUGUUGCCCUUCAUCACCUUCGCGCCUCCUCGUGUUGUUGGUCCGUGAAUGCAACAAAAAAGUGGGCGCACGUACACAGCCCCUAUCGAGCGUACGCUCUGUCGUCGUUCGCCCUUCGCUCCUGUCGUUGUGGCUUUCUUGCUCAUGCUUCCCGGUCCUUCCAUUGCGCUCCUCAUCUCUUCUAUAGUUGUUGCGAGGUGUGUGUGUGUGUGUGUUUGUGUGCCCUCUCUAGUGUUUCCGUUAGUGGGGCAUUGUUGCUGCCUGUAGGACUCGCAUGCGCUAGUAUCGCCGCCUCCUCCGCCUCCACCCCACCCCAUCCCCAUCUCUCUCUUCGUGUUCUCCCGCUUCUCUCAGGUGCCCUCUUGAUGCCCCUGCACGUCGCAUCGCCGUUUCGCAGAAAUACAAACGGAAAAAAGAAAGAGAAAAGGAAAGAAAAAUGGCUGCGUCGCCAGUGAGUCGCACGGUGGCGGGAGAGUGUUUAGCGAUCACGUAUUCCGUGAAAUCCGUCAUGUGAGGCAAGUGGCUGCAUCAGAGAAGUGCUAUAGUCAAACGGGCAUGUAUGCUGCGCUUUUGCAGUUGUGUAUAUGUAUGCAGUAUUGGUGUCUUCUACACAUACACGCAAUCACAAGCGCUGAGAGACACCUCGAAUCUCGCCUCGUCUUUCUUUUCGCUGGCCAACGCCACUAUCUGCCAACUCUCCACCCCUACCCCACGAUAUCUCUCCCGCGUAAUUCUCCUCCCCACCCCACCCCACCCCCCAACUCUGCUCGCAUGCCUUUGAAUUGGCAUUCCUUUUUCCUACUGAG